rnacentral:tRNA from 1 species
UCCUAAAUAGCUCAGUGGGUAGAGCACAUGACUUAAAAUCAUGAUGGCGAAGGUUCAAAUCCUUCUUCAGGAU